rnacentral:misc_RNA from 1 species
AAGAACUGUAUUACCUUCUGAGAGAUGAGGAAGAUGUACACUUUGCAUUUGGAACAGUUCGAGGAAAUGGAAUCAACAAGGCAAGCCAAGGAAUGGCCUCAUUGAAGUUCUGCCUCAAUAUUGCUGGCGAUACCCCUUCCUCAAAUCGUCUCUUUGAUGCCAUUGUGAGCCAUUGUGUUCCUGUGAUAGUAAGCGAUGACAUUGAGCUGCCAUUUGAAGAUGUCUUAGACCACUCAGAAUUCAGCAUAAUUUAUGCGUGCAUCUGAUGCUGUUAUGAAAGGAUAACUACUGAAUCUUCUUCAGAGUAUUGAGCAAGACAAGUGGACCAUGAUGUGGGAAAGAUGAAAGGACAUUACACCACGGUUUGAAUAUCAGUAUCCGUCUCAGCCUGGUGAUGCUGUAGAUAUGAUUUGGACGGCAUUAUCACGUAAGACAUCUUUAGUGCAAUUAUACUUUACAGGAAGAACAGAUAUCGCGGAUCUGAGAUUUAUUAAUUGAAAGGACCAUCAGCCAAGAGACAACUUUAUACAUUUGGUCUUAGGUGCAUAGACAAAGAUGAUUUUUGCUGGGCUGCAGGUUUUUGGACGAGGCAGAAGCUCAGUUUUUUUCUUCUUAUUUUUUUCUUUUUUGUU